rnacentral:rRNA from 1 species
GAUGAACGCUAGCGAUAGGCCUAACACAUGCAAGUCGAGGGGCAUCACAUGAAGUAGCAAUACGGAUGGUGGCGACCGGCGCACGGGUGAGUAACACGUAUGCAACCUGCCUUCAACAAGGGGAUAACCCGUUGAAAGACGGACUAAUACCCUAUAACACAGGGGUCCCGCAUGGGGAUAUUUGUUAAAGGACAACCGGUUGAAGAUGGGCAUGCGUUCCAUUAGCUAGUUGGCGGGGUAAGGGCCCACCAAGGCAACGAUGGAUAGGGGAACUGAGAGGUUUAUCCCCCACACUGGUACUGAGACACGGACCAGACUCCUACGGGAGGCAGCAGUGAGGAAUAUUGGUCAAUGGACGCAAGUCUGAACCAGCCACGUCGCGUGAAGGAAGACGGCCCUACGGGUUGUAAACUUCUUUUGUAAGGGAAUAAAGUGCCCCACGCGUGGGGUUUUGCAAGUACCGUACGAAUAAGGAUCGGCUAACUCCGUGCCAGCAGCCGCGGUAAGUACUGACUCA